UGAAAAGUUGCAGCCAGAGCGUGGGCAAUAUGCUUGCACAAGUUUAUAGGGAGAGCCACCACGGUCCUUGUCCCGGUAAGGCUAACUCGUCCGCGCCACUGUGCCGCGAGGGGUGUGGGGACCAUUGCUGCACGCAGGGAAGCUGCAUAGGAACCAGGGCGGAAUCCACAUUGCUGUAGAAGACCCUCCCUCUCUUGCCAGGUAACACGCAGCAGUGAUAUAUCUGGCAGUAGAAAAUCCUGUUGAGAAUGUAGGGAUAGUGUUCAGUGCAGGUCCCUGCUCUCCGCUUUCCCCAGUGCAGGUCCCCAGGUCCCUGCUCUCUGCUUUCCCCAGUGCAAGUCCCUGCUCUCUGCUUUCCCCAGUGCAGGUCCCCAGGUCCCUGCUCUCUGCUUUCCCUAGUGCAGGUCCCUGCUCUCUGCUUUCCCCAGUGCAGGUCCCCAGGUCCCUGCUCUCUGCUUUCCCCAGUGCAGGUCCCCAGGUCCCUGCUCUCUGCUUUCCCCAGUGCAGGUCCCUGCUCUCUGCUUUCCCCAGUGCAGGUCCCCAGGUCCCUGCUCUCUGCUUUCCCCAGUGCACAGAAACCCCAGUGAGCCCUCAGGCAGUUCCCCUUCCCAGGUGAAGUCGCGGCAGAAACACUCACCCCAUUGCUCGCCAUGCCUUCACUGCCGUGGCCUCUCUGUGCUAUGUUAGGUAUGUGGGAAUGAUGCUACA